GAUGAACGCUGGCGGCGUGCCUAAUACAUGCAAGUCGAGCGAAUGGAUUAAGAGCUUGCUCUUAUGAAGUUAGCGGCGGACGGGUGAGUAACACGUGGGUAACCUGCCCAUAAGACUGGGAUAACUCCGGGAAACCGGGGCUAAUACCGGAUAACAUUUUGAACCGCAUGGUUCGAAAUUGAAAGGCGGCUUCGGCUGUCACUUAUGGAUGGACCCGCGUCGCAUUAGCUAGUUGGUGAGGUAACGGCUCACCAAGGCAACGAUGCGUAGCCGACCUGAGAGGGUGAUCGGCCACACUGGGACUGGGAAACGGCCCAGACUCCUACGGGAGGCAGCAGUAGGGAAUCUUCCGCAAUGGACGAAAGUCUGACGGAGCAACGCCGCGUGAGUGAUGAAGGCUUUCGGGUCGUAAAAUUCUGUUGUUAGGGAAGAACAAGUGCUAGUUGAAUAAGCUGGCACCUUGACGGUACCUAACCAGAAAGCCAGGGCUAACUACGUGCCAGCCGCCGCGGUAA
rnacentral:rRNA from 1 species